ensembl:lncRNA
GGAACGUUAGCUUGACCACGGAGGGAGGGGCGUAAUGUUUCAAGGAAGAAGGAGAGCAAGCAGAUGAGGAGAAUCCGGUACCCGAAGAGUAUCGGUACUGACAUGAGGAAACAUUGCAGCCAAUUAAGAUGCUAUAUAGAAGUUUUUGAUAACAUGCGGAAAUGUAUCCAAUAAACUGGACUCUGGCUGCCGCGGACGUCCGGCACUGAGCCGGGUGGUGCUGCCCUCCAGCCGUCGUUGGCCACCGGAUCACGCUUCCCUAGCUGGAAGCCCCGUCAGGCGCUGUGGAUGGAAAAGCUCCAGCCCCAAACCAAACGAGAGGACCGCUGGCCAGGAAGUGGAGGGCUGCAAGCCUCAGCGCUCAGCCCAAGAACCCGAGCCCGCCGGCUACCAACCGGACCGCGCCCCCGGCGUCCACGCCCGCCGGGCUCGGGCCCCGAGGGUCGGCCCGACCUGUCCAGCCCCUCCGCCGUCUCUCAGAGCCUCGCGAGCCUCUAGCAGACGCGCCCCCUAGAGGUGCCUCCGCUGCUCCACCGCCAACGUC